UACGUAGGGUGCAAGCGUUAAUCGGAAUUACUGGGCGUAAAGCGUGCGCAGGCGGUUUUGUAAGUCUGUCGUGAAAGCCCCGGGCUCAACCUGGGAAUUGCAUUUGAGACUGAAUAGCUAGGGUGCGGAAGAGGGAAGCGGAAUUUCCGGUGUAGCGGUGAAAUGCGUAGAUAUCGGAAGGAACACCAGUGGCGAAAGCGGCUUCCUGGUCCAGCACCGACGUCAGGCACGAAAGCGUGGGGAGCAAACAGG
rnacentral:rRNA from 1 species